rnacentral:piRNA from 8 species
CCUGGUGGUCUAGUGGUUAGGAUUCGG